UUAAGUUCAGCGGUAGUCCUACCUGAUUUGAGAUCGAACUUCAGACAGCUGUCUUCGCUGAGGAGAGACGUCUAUAAGCUCCGGCGAACCUCUGCAGACCAGAGGUUUACCUCGCAGGCGAUCACAAGCGUAGAUGGUUAUCACACCCAUGAUGCCGCCAGACACCGGCAAGCUAAUUCGUUUGAGGAGAGCCGACCACA
rnacentral:misc_RNA from 1 species